CAUCCAGUUCUGUUCUUAGUCUUAUAUUCUCUUAAUCUCUUAGUCUCCCUAAUCUCAAAACCACUCAUACACUCACGCAUACACUCUCUUCUCAAUCUCUUACCAAAUCACCAAGAACAAGUCUCAUCUAACUCCAUUGGAGUGUAUCCACAGUCACACAUCCAACCAGAGUAGUUCUCUCUAAAAACUCAUAUGGUAUCAGAGCCAGGUUCAUCAGAACCUGAGCUGUAGCUUCCGCAAAUCACUUGCUCUCACCUCAGCUCAAAUCCAACCCUUGAAGCCUUUUACAUCCGAGUUCAGUUUCUCCAUGAAGUAGAAGACUGAAGCUGGCGUGGCUCUUAUCCUUUCUCCUGUCCAUACUGAUGGAGAGACUCAUUGGAAGCAGAGGUGUAUGGAGAGGCCUCGCGAACCUCAUCCAAGGUGCCUUGUCCAAGAGCUUUCCCAUCCGGUUCAUCAAGCAAGCUGCCAAGAAGAUGGCGCCUAGAAGAGAAGGAGAAAGGAGGGGUCUUUGAGUUAGAGAAACAAGGAGGAAGUCAUGGACUGAAGAAGCAGGAGAUGGGUAACGAUCCAGACUCACAUAUCCUCAAGGUCAUGAGCUUACCAUCCGAGAGUGAUACAAGGACCAACCUGGUUCCUUGAUAGUAAGCGAUUCUUUAAACCUUAAGUGGUAAUGAGCUUGUGAUAAAAUCUGGUUGUGUGUUGUGAUGUGAUUGAAAACCUGAGGAUUGUUUAAAGAUUGCUAAAUGAAAUGAAAUGAAUUUAGAAUCUAUCCCAGGAUGCUUAAAGAGACUUGUUGAGUUGAUUGAGAUUGUUUAAAAGGCUUAGCUCCGGUUCAUAAUGUUGCUUGUGUGGUUGAUUGAAUCUGCUUGCAUACAUAUAUAGAAACCGACUGAAAGCUAGUGCAUUUGGUCUUGGAGUUACCUUACACUGAGGCACUAGAUUCAUGUCUAGUAGCUGAGUAAGGGGCUGUCAAGAUAUUCCUAAGUAUCUCGUAAUGAAUCUGUAGGAUCAUGCUAGUACUUAGAGAGAUUAGCUUGCAAUGAUUUGAAACUUGGGUGUCUUGUUUGAUCUUGCAUUGCUUUAGUGAGUCAUUGGGUUCAAGCUUGAUGUGGAAUCAAGGACUGACCCAAUGCACCUAUGUCUUAUCUUCUCUGGAGUUUGAGUGGUGUUUCAGGUAUACAAGAAGUGUUCUUAGUUCAUCACCAAUCCAAGAGAAAGAGGAAGGCAUUGCCCAUUGUCAUGAGCAAUGGAGAGCGGUUACUGAAGUGGUGAUGUGCCACUGGUUAGUGAAGACUCACGGCUGCUCACUUCCAAGCUUGGACCCUCAUUCUAUCCAAGCUUGAGGAGGGGAGUUAAGUGAGCAAAGAAGGAAGACCAUGGCAAGCAACUGAUGGAAAAGGAGUCAUCCGGCUGUGGGAAGAACAAGGGAGUGUUCAGAGCACUCUCGGCUGUGUGAAGAUGAUGGAGCUACUCUAUCAAGGCGGCUUCCAGUGUGAGCAGUCUGAAGAGGGAGCUGAAGGUUCCACAAACAUUCCAUGGAGAUGGCGAGUUCAGAAGGUGCUGCAAGGGUCUGAUGGUGUGAUCAUGAAGCUGCUCUCCCAAGCUUGACUUGUUCCAUAUGGUCAAGCUUGAGGGGGAGUGUUGAGAAGACUUCAAUGAUCACAAAGAUGCUGGUUUACGAAGGUGGACAGCAGUGAGCAAAGAUGGAUGAUCAAGAAGCUCUCCUUCCAAGCUUGACUUGUUCCACAUGGUCAAGCUUGAGGGGGAGUGUUGAGAAGGCUUCUUGAUGAGAGCACUUGGCGGUUAAUCAAGAAGAGGAGCAGACUGGUUUGUGAAGCAAGAUGGAGGAUGGUGAAGCAAUCACCAAGGCGGCCAAAGCAGAGCAGCCUUGAUACUACAGACUGAACCAUCCGAUCAUGAAGCUUUAGAACUAGGUGGAGACUCUAGAAGGAGAAGCAGCCAAGGCUCCACAAGUUCUUGAUACUCUUGGUGCGAGUAUGAUCUGAUGGUUCCAUAUGAAGCUAGAAGAAGGUCAGACCGUGAGAAGAGUACAAGAUGAAGGGUGAUGAGCAAGGGAAGAUGUGAUCAACCUUGCAUCACAAGAAGAGGCCAUGAUCCAGAGUCUUUGUGUCCCUUACAUUGAUGGUAAGGCACAAAGACUCACUGGCCAAUCCCUAGGCCGUGGAGGCUUUACUCUUUUUCCCUCAUCAAGGUUUUGUCCCAAAGGGUUUUCCUUGGUGAGGUUUUUAAUGAGGAAGCUCUUCAUGGUUCCAAGCUUAACUCAGGAUCUCCUAGAGUUAAGCUUGAGGGGGAGUGUUGAACUGAAGAGAAGAAUGGAGCUUGUUCAUAAAUAGGGAAAGCCCUUGAAGACCUUGAGAAGAGUUCAGCAAAGCUUCAGGAGUGUCUUGAAGCAUCUAUCAUGGGUGAAGUCAAGUCCAAGAAUGGCUGAGACUGAUCUUAAGAAGGCAUGGAAGGAGUUUGGAGGUGUAUGGUCGAGUGGGCAAACUUAGGGCGUGGCCGUACGGAGUUGGUACGGAAGUGUACGGACCGUACGGAUCCGUACGGACCAAGCCGACCCAAAAGUUUGUAUCUCGACCAUCUGAGCCUAUUUAGAGUUGGUGCAAAAAUAGGGCACAGGUCAGUUCUUAAGAGAAGAAGACAAAAGAGACUCUUAAGAGAAGAAGACAAAGAAGAAGGCUGUGUGUGCAAAGGAGAUUGGCGCCUGGUUUGUGAUAGGCUGUGGCAGUCCAAGACAGGCUGGCUAUAGCUGGAAAGGAAGAGCAAGGCUUGACUAUGUAUCUGGCCAAAGAAGAGGGCAGAUACAUGAGCCAAUGAGGAGCAUUUCCAGCCAAGGCUUUCACUUAACCAAUCAGGCGGUUCCAACACUUUGCAAAGACCACAAGACCUGAUCCUGAGCGUCCAAUUCAAAUUAAAGCAUCUCCACCCUUCAUGUCUUAUCUGUAGCUUAGGGUUUAUGAUUUGUGCAAUGAGUAAAGCUCAUAUAUAAGCUUGCUAAUGUCGGAUUGUAAACACUAAGGGAGUAAGGGGGAUUUCCCCUCUCCACUUCAUUGUUCUGGUUACUAAUAGCAUCCAGUUCUGUUCUUAGUCUUAUAUUCUCUUAAUCUCUUAGUCUCCCUAAUCUCAAAACCACUCAUACACUCACGCAUACACUCUCUUCUCAAUCUCUUACCAAAUCACCAAGAACAAGUCUCAUCUAACUCCAUUGGAGUGUAUCCACAGUCACACAUCCAACCAGAGUAGUUCUCUCUAAAAACUCAUAUGGUAUCAGAGCCAGGUUCAUCAGAACCUGAGCUGUAGCUUCCGCAAAUCACUUGCUCUCACCUCAGCUCAAAUCCAACCCUUGAAGCCUUUUACAUCCGAGUUCAGUUUCUCCAUGAAGUAGAAGACUGAAGCUGGCGUGGCUCUUAUCCUUUCUCCUGUCCAUACUGAUGGAGAGACUCAUUGGAAGCAGAGGUGUAUGGAGAGGCCUCGCGAACCUCAUCUAAGGUGCCUUGUCCAAGAGCUUUCCCAUCCGGUUCAUCAAGCAAGCUGCCAAGAAGAUGGCGCCUAGAAGAGAAGGAGAAAGGAAACGAUCCAGACUCACAUAUCCUCAAGGUCAUGAGCUUACCAUCCGAGAGUGAUACAAGGACCAACCUGGUUCCUUGAUAGUAAGCGAUUCUUUAAACCUUAAGUGGUAAUGAGCUUGUGAUAAAAUCUGGUUGUGUGUUGUGAUGUGAUUGAAAACCUGAGGAUUGUUUAAAGAUUGCUAAAUGAAAUGAAAUGAAUUUAGAAUCUAUCCCAGGAUGCUUAAAGAGACUUGUUGAGUUGAUUGAGAUUGUUUAAAAGGCUUAGCUCCGGUUCAUAAUGUUGCUUGUGUGGUUGAUUGAAUCUGCUUGCAUACAUAUAUAGAAACCGACUGAAAGCUAGUGCAUUUGGUCUUGGAGUUACCUUACACUGAGGCACUAGAUUCAUGUCUAGUAGCUGAGUAAGGGGCUGUCAAGAUAUUCCUAAGUAUCUCGUAAUGAAUCUGUAGGAUCAUGCUAGUACUUAGAGAGAUUAGCUUGCAAUGAUUUGAAACUUGGGUGUCUUGUUUGAUCUUGCAUUGCUUUAGUGAGUCAUUGGGUUCAAGCUUGAUGUGGAAUCAAGGACUGACCCAAUGCACCUAUGUCUUAUCUUCUCUGGAGUUUGAGUGGUGUUUCAGGUAUACAAGAAGUGUUCUUAGUUCAUCACCAAUCCAAGAGAAAGAGGAAGGCAUUGCCCAUUGUCAUGAGCAAUGGAGAGCGGUUACUGAAGUGGUGAUGUGCCACUGGUUAGUGAAGACUCACGGCUGCUCACUUCCAAGCUUGGACCCUCAUUCUAUCCAAGCUUGAGGAGGGGAGUUAAGUGAGCAAAGAAGGAAGACCAUGGCAAGCAACUGAUGGAAAAGGAGUCAUCCGGCUGUGGGAAGAACAAGGGAGUGUUCAGAGCACUCUCGGCUGUGUGAAGAUGAUGGAGCUACUCUAUCAAGGCGGCUUCCAGUGUGAGCAGUCUGAAGAGGGAGCUGAAGGUUCCACAAACAUUCCAUGGAGAUGGCGAGUUCAGAAGGUGCUGCAAGGGUCUGAUGGUGUGAUCAUGAAGCUGCUCUCCCAAGCUUGACUUGUUCCAUAUGGUCAAGCUUGAGGGGGAGUGUUGAGAAGACUUCAAUGAUCACAAAGAUGCUGGUUUACGAAGGUGGACAGCAGUGAGCAAAGAUGGAUGAUCAAGAAGCUCUCCUUCCAAGCUUGACUUGUUCCACAUGGUCAAGCUUGAGGGGGAGUGUUGAGAAGGCUUCUUGAUGAGAGCACUUGGCGGUUAAUCAAGAAGAGGAGCAGACUGGUUUGUGAAGCAAGAUGGAGGAUGGUGAAGCAAUCACCAAGGCGGCCAAAGCAGAGCAGCCUUGAUACUACAGACUGAACCAUCCGAUCAUGAAGCUUUAGAACUAGGUGGAGACUCUAGAAGGAGAAGCAGCCAAGGCUCCACAAGUUCUUGAUACUCUUGGUGCGAGUAUGAUCUGAUGGUUCCAUAUGAAGCUAGAAGAAGGUCAGACCGUGAGAAGAGUACAAGAUGAAGGGUGAUGAGCAAGGGAAGAUGUGAUCAACCUUGCAUCACAAGAAGAGGCCAUGAUCCAGAGUCUUUGUGUCCCUUACAUUGAUGGUAAGGCACAAAGACUCACUGGCCAAUCCCUAGGCCGUGGAGGCUUUACUCUUUUUCCCUCAUCAAGGUUUUGUCCCAAAGGGUUUUCCUUGGUGAGGUUUUUAAUGAGGAAGCUCUUCAUGGUUCCAAGCUUAACUCAGGAUCUCCUAGAGUUAAGCUUGAGGGGGAGUGUUGAACUGAAGAGAAGAAUGGAGCUUGUUCAUAAAUAGGGCAAGCCCUUGAAGACCUUGAGAAGAGUUCAGCAAAGCUUCAGGAGUGUCUUGAAGCAUCUAUCAUGGGUGAAGUCAAGUCCAAGAAUGGCUGAGACUGAUCUUAAGAAGGCAUGGAAGGAGUUUGGAGGUGUAUGGUCGAGUGGGCAAACUUAGGGCGUGGCCGUACGGAGUUGGUACGGAAGUGUACGGACCGUACGGAUCCGUACGGACCAAGCCGACCCAAAAGUUUGUAUCUCGACCAUCUGAGCCUAUUUAGAGUUGGUGCAAAAAUAGGGCACAGGUCAGUUCUUAAGAGAAGAAGACAAAAGAGACUCUUAAGAGAAGAAGACAAAGAAGAAGGCUGUGUGUGCAAAGGAGAUUGGCGCCUGGUUUGUGAUAGGCUGUGGCAGUCCAAGACAGGCUGGCUAUAGCUGGAAAGGAAGAGCAAGGCUUGACUAUGUAUCUGGCCAAAGAAGAGGGCAGAUACAUGAGCCAAUGAGGAGCAUUUCCAGCCAAGGCUUUCACUUAACCAAUCAGGCGGUUCCAACACUUUGCAAAGACCACAAGACCUGAUCCUGAGCGUCCAAUUCAAAUUAAAGCAUCUCCACCCUUCAUGUCUUAUCUGUAGCUUAGGGUUUAUGAUUUGUGCAAUGAGUAAAGCUCAUAUAUAAGCUUGCUAAUGUCGGAUUGUAAACACUAAGGGAGUAAGGGGGAUUUCCCCUCUCCACUUCAUUGUUCUGGUUACUAAUAACAUCCAGUUCUGUUCUUAGUCUUAUAUUCUCUUAAUCUCUUAGUCUCCCUAAUCUCAAAACCACUCAUACACUCACGCAUACACUCUCUUCUCAAUCUCUUACCAAAUCACCAAGAACAAGUCUCAUCUAACUCCAUUGGAGUGUAUCCACAGUCACACAUCCAACCAGAGUAGUUCUCUCUAAAAACUCAUA
rnacentral:lncRNA from 1 species